UCUCCGUUGGUGAACCAGCGGAGGGAUCAUUACAGAGUUGCAAAACUCCCAAACCAUUGUGAACGUUACCUAUCCCGUUGCUUCGGCGGGCGGCCCGGGCCCCGCGCCCGGCGCCCCCCGGCCCCCCGUGGGCGCCCGCCGGAGGUAAACCAAACCCUUGGAUUGCAUGGCCUCUCUGAGUCUUCUAUACUGAAUAAGUCAAAACUUUCAACAACGGAUCUCUUGGUUCUG
rnacentral:misc_RNA from 1 species